AGACAACCUCCAGAGCAGGGCAGCAGGCAGCUGCUAGAGAUUUAUUUCUCCACUUAGUCGUCUCCGCUUGCGGCUUCCUCCCAUGAGUGAGGACCAAGAGAAGCCCCCUGUCUCUGAUGAAAGUGGGGGAUGAACACUGAACCAAACCCACACUGCUCAGCACAUUUGAUGCGGCCAGAAACAGACUGCAAAGGCUGAGAAAGCUUUUCAGGGGCCGUCUGGCUGUGUGGGUGCGAAGACCUGGCUGUACUUGGAAUCACCUGGGAAGACUUACAAAAAUGGUUUCCGAGCCUCACCCGCAAGGAUUCUGACUUGGCAUCUGUGAAAACACAUAAAGCAACACCCUGAGGCAGCAACGGCUCCAGUCUGGGAGUCUGAGGAGCAGAAAGAAGCUGAGGUGGCCAUAGGAGCCCCAUGGGCAGUGAGGUGAGGCCAGGGAGAUGGGCCACGGCCGGUCAGCCAGGGCCUUGAAGGGCACGGUAAAGCGUAUGGAUUUUGUCCUGAGAAACGAGAAGUCAGCUUUGACAGGGGAGGGCCAUGCUCCUGUGGCCCGAGUCAUCAGGCCGUGCUGCCUGCUAUACUGCUGGAUGCCCCUUUAAGUCAGGAGCCCCACACUGUUCAUGGGGUAACUCCAGGGCCUGGCUCUCAGUGGCGUGCAGAGGCAUUUAUUUUAUUUUACUUUUUUGCUGCUUUGCACCUGGCAAUGGAAGAAUGAAAGGCAACCCAGAGUGAAAUUAGGAUUACAAUUUUACAAACGUCUGUUUCUGACGCAGGAAGCACAUCAUUUGUCCACAUCACACUCUCUUGGAAUUUAUGACAAAGCCAGGUAAAUGAAAACUUGGAAAGAUAAACCUCAGAUAAGGGGGGACUACUGUAUUCAUUCCUUCACCAUGGCAUGUCUGUGUCUGAGAAUCUACCCUUAAAAACAAUCUGGAUGCAAAGAAGCCGUAAGAUAGAGCGCAGUCCCUUCAUUUCAUAAAAGAAUGAAACUAACUCAAAUACACAAUGCAAUGGGUGAGUAAAGUAUUGCACUACCCUUAAUGUAAUAUUGUGGGGCCACUGAAAACAUGCUCACAUGUUUAUGGAAAUCUGAGAAGUGUUUCUAUCUAUGGCAUUUCAUCACAUUUAAGACACUGUUGAUUAGAGAACACACCACCAUUUCACGUACCUUUAAGGAAGAAAAAAAUACCCAGAAUGGUUAUUUAAUAAGGGACGUCUAAGUAAAGCUGGGAUCCUAAAGGGCUAUUUCUUUGGUGGGAGGAGAAUGAUAAACAGCCUCGUCAGGCAGAAAGAGCCAGUGUCCCAGCCAUGGACCCGGAUGCAGGGAGGGAACAAAACUGCCCCUGAGGACGUGCACAAGCCAGUACUCAUGCUGGUUUGAGUCUGAAUUUGCACAAACAUAUGGUCUGGAAACACCUCAAGCAAAUGCUGUAACUGAAUUUAAGUUUAAGGUUAUGUCAAGUUGGCAGUGCCCCCAGGUGACUGGCAGAAACAAAUACAACCACCUCUAGAAAGAACUGAAUGUUAACACCAGCUGACAGUGCCUGUAAAACAUCAGCCACUGUACAGUGCAAGAUCCAGAGACGUUAAAAUGUGAAGUGAGUUUUAGAAUUAACCAUAAGUAAAAAAGCAGAAUCAAAUGGGUAUGUGGAGGAUGACAUCUCUUUGCCGAGUAGACCGACUGGAAGGAAAAACACAGUAAAAUGUUCACAGUGAUCUUCUGUAGGUGCUAAGACUACAGCAUUUUCUUUCUUUAAACGAGUCUGCGUUUUCCAGCUUUUUCUAAAGUGACCAUAUAAAAAAAGGAGAAAUAAGGAGACGCAAGUGAGAGAAUGACUUUGGGUGGGGUAGUCAAGGAGGUGACCCUGAAGGAGGUGACACCUGAACUGAGAAGGGACCAGCACAGGAGAAGCCACCUGAAGAGUUCAUUGCUACAUGUGUAUCCAGGACAAGGACCUGGGGCACAGGGAAGAUGCUUGAUAUGUAUUUGUUAAAUGAAUACACGGGUUAAGGAAGGAAAAAGCUGCUAAAACAGGAGCCUAAGUCUCAAGGGGUCCCAGCCAGAGUCUGGCUCUUCAGGGAGCCAUUCUCACUGGACUGAGCUGAUAAACAGGGCAGGGACGCCCACCUGGCCAACAGCAGGGCCCUGUGGAAAGUAUGCAGCUGCAGAGUUAGCAGAGAACCAUGGUUGUGGGUCUUGGGCCUGUUUCCCCAUCUGUCAAAUGAGGUUAGUGCUUUGCCACCUCUGUCUCUGAAGUCAGCUCCAGAUGAUAUCGUGCUUUGAAAUAUUAAGCCACGUGCGAGCGUGAGGGGCUGUCACGCUCCAGGAGGUCCUCAUGCGAGCCCAGCAGCACCUCCCUGUAACACUGGGAACUGUCAGCACCUCCCUGUAACACUGGGACCUGUGAGCUUCAGACAAGCUGCUUUGUCUCAGGAAGGUUCCCGUGCUCGCUGCUCAGCCCACAGGAGAUGUCACAUCAGCUCCUGUCUUCCUGCCCGCAUGCACUUUCCAGAUUCACUUACCAUGUACGAGCCUGUGCUGGAAACUGCUAACAGAGAUAAGAGAUGGGUCCCUGUCCUUGAGAAAGUCACAGGGAGUCCAGAGAGUCAGAUGAGCAAACAGGAUGAUACCCUGUGGGACCCGAGGGAGGGGACACACAAUCUGCUGCUGAGAGGCAGUUAACAGCCACCACUGGGGGGAAAUAAUGGAGGCAUUGUAGGUUUCCUACAUUGUUUCCUUUUGCUGUCACAGUUUUGGGAGGUUAUCUCCAUUUCACAGAUCGGGGCUGGAAACUAAGUCAUCUGUCAAGUUCACAGAGUCUGGACUCGCACCUGGGCUGGGGUGACUCAAGUCCAUGCCCACGGGCAUACUACUGCACUGUUUCCUCCCGAGUGGGGUCUAACACCCUCACCAGCACCUUCCACUCUGGAGUGAGAGGGACAGGUACAAGAGCGCCGCUGCCGCCUGGGAUCUCUGCACAGCCACUUCGCAGGCAGCCUGAGAAACGUCCGUUGCUCCACCAGGCGGAGUUCUGCCCCGCGAGUCUUCAUCCCAGGUAAGGCCCCCCCACCUCGUGCCCUGAGUCUACGCGCGGGCCUUUUCCUUUGAGCCAGGGAUACACCCGCCGCCGGCCCCCACAGGUCUGCGCUCAUGCACAUCGCCUUGCAUCCGUUCAGUUACCGGCACCCGCUCCCUCGCUCGCAAACUCCCGCACUAGCCCGGCCACCGCCUCUGCUCGCGCGCGCGGGGUGCUGGAGCCUCACCGCGGGCGCUCUAGCCCCGGGCGGGUUCCCGGGAAGCCGCGGCGAGCGCGGGGAGGCGAGGAUCCCGGCAGAGAUGGGUAGGGUGCCAACGCCCAGGCCCCGCCCUCUCCACCCGGCCCCGCCCCCGCAGGGCCCGCCCCGGCCGGCAGGGAGGAUGUGAGCUCACUCCCGCCUCCAUGUUCCCGGAGUCGCCUGGAAGCGUCCGCCCAAGGUCGCGGGCCGCUUGGGGAGUCAGCAGCGCGCCAGGCCCCUUCGGGCCCCACACGCAUUAGGUGCCUUCUUGAUGGGUACGGAGUGAACGCGGGCGGCGGCGGGACCGAGGCAGCGCCCAGUUUGUAACCGCCGCGCCGCCCGUGCCCGCGCGCGCCACACCCCAGCGCGCUUCCGGCCGGGCCACGUGACCGCGCGUGCACGUGUUCCGGCCUCUCCGCUUCGCCGCUCCGAACCUCCUCCUGGUCGUCCCGGCAUUCGUCCACGCGGAGCCGGCUUGGGCGGGGCCCGGGAGGCGGCGGCCGGAGAAGCCGCGGAGACGCGAGCGCCGAGCGUCGCGAGGGAGCAGGCCCGGGCAGGCAAGCGGCGGCCUCCGCCAUGAACCCCAGGGGCCUGUUCCAGGACUUCAACCCCAGUAAGUUUCUCAUCUACACCUGCCUGCUGCUCUUCUCGGUGCUGCUGCCCCUCCGCCUGGACGGCAUCAUCCAAUGGAGCUACUGGGCCGUCUUUGCCCCCAUAUGGCUGUGGAAGCUUCUAGUCGUCGCAGGCGCCUCCGUGGGCGCGGGCGUUUGGGCCCGCAACCCUCGCUACCGCACCGAGGGAGAGGCCUGUGUGGAGUUCAAAGCCAUGCUGAUCGCUGUGGGCAUCCACCUGCUGCUGCUCAUGUUCGAAGUCCUGGUCUGCGACAGGGUGGAGAGGGGCACCCACUUCUGGCUGCUGGUCUUCAUGCCUCUCUUCUUCGUGUCCCCCGUGUCCGUGGCUGCCUGCGUCUGGGGCUUUCGACACGAUAGGUCGCUGGAGCUGGAGAUCCUGUGCUCGGUCAACAUCCUGCAGUUCAUCUUCAUCGCCCUAAAGCUGGACAGGAUUAUUCACUGGCCGUGGCUGGUGGUGUUUGUGCCCCUGUGGAUCCUCAUGUCGUUCCUUUGCCUGGUCGUCCUCUAUUACAUCGUCUGGUCCCUCCUGUUCCUGCGGUCCCUGGAUGUGGUUGCCGAGCAGCGGAGAACACACGUGACCAUGGCUAUCAGUUGGAUAACGAUUGUCGUGCCUCUGCUCACUUUUGAGGUCCUGCUGGUUCACAGAUUGGAUGGCCACAAUACAUUCUCCUACGUCUCCAUAUUUGUCCCCCUUUGGCUUUCCUUACUAACUUUAAUGGCCACAACAUUUAGGCGAAAGGGGGGCAAUCAUUGGUGGUUUGGCAUUCGCAGAGACUUCUGUCAGUUUCUGCUUGAAAUUUUCCCAUUUUUAAGAGAAUAUGGGAACAUUUCAUAUGAUCUCCAUCACGAAGAUAGUGAAGAUGCUGAAGAAACAUCAGUUCCAGAAGCUCCGAAAAUUGCUCCAAUAUUUGGAAAGAAGGCCAGAGUAGUUAUAACCCAGAGCCCUGGGAAAUACGUUCCCCCCCCUCCCAAGUUAAAUAUUGAUAUGCCAGAUUAAACUCCUAGAGAGGACCCAGGCACACACAGACUCCACUUGGCCUUCGCCUCUUGUUCAUUCAUCCCAAACCUGGAAAUGGAAACAGGCUUCAAACACUCGUCUCACGCCGUGUUUGAGAUCACCGCCUCAUCAGUAUGCAUCAUAGAUGGAGGUGGUUUCAGUAUGUGGGUGUGUGUGAUGUGUACCUGGGUAAGAGACUUGCUUUCCAGGUUCGCACUUUCAGGUGUAGCUGGGGGCAGUAAGUCGAAUUGUUUUAGUAGGUCCUCAAAAGGAAUAACCACACAGCUGUUUGUUUAAAUGCUACUGUACCUAUCAAAACUAUUGUUUAAAAAGUAUUUUUAUACACUGCUAAUCUAAAAUUGUAUUUCAGAUUGUGCCUGUCAUAACAAUAGCAAAUGUAAAAAGUUCUCUUUCCCACCACUUGUUUAUAAACCUCAUAGUUGAUAUUUUUAGUGUUCCUACUGUUAAAAUACUCUCUCCUUGGGCUUUGCUGAUACUGGUCUUUAAUAUUCUGAUAGGUGAAUUUUUCUAAUGGAAUGAACCCAUGCAUAUAUAGUAUUUAUAUGAAUAUUUUAGCAGUGUAAUAUGUUGAAUUCUAGUUCUCUGCAUUACCAUUAUUACGUUAAAGUAUUUUUUAAAGCUUAGGUGUGAAGAUAUGUGUCUAUUGCAGAUGUCCUUGAAAACUGCAUAAAACAGUAUGUGCCUGGUGUGGAUCUUACCAAAGUACUAGGCAUGAAUGUAGGGACUGCAAAUCCCAUGGGUCUUAAUAUUUAGGUGUUAGUAACCAAGGUCUCUGGUAGUACCCGUUAGUAGAGGAAGAGGCCACUGCCCUUGGGAACUUGUGACAGGCUCUAGUGUGGUACCAGGCCAUAAAGUGACACUGUUAUUUAGCAACUUGAAUUUUUCCACACAGGUAGUAACUGUGUGGAAAUAAGCAACAAGUGGUUUGUCCAUUUCUAAGAAUCUUAAACUAUUAGUUGGCUGUAGUGUGAAGCAUUACUUGUCAUUGGAAAGAUGGAGAGAGUGGCCUUAACCGGAAGUGGUCAGUAGAAGCAGGUGUCAUUUUAAGGGCCAAACUUUAAUCUGUCAGCAAUAGGGAAACAACUGUUCAAAUUAUCUUUGUAGAUAAGAACAGUGUUUCUUUUUUCUUUUCUUUUGUUUUUUUGUUUGUUUGUUUUGUUUUGUUUUGAGACAGAGUUUCACUCUUGUUGCCCAGGCUGGAGUGCAAUGGCACAAUCUUGAUCUCAGCUCGCCGCAGCCUCCGCCUCCCGGUUCAAGCGAUUCUUCUGCCUCAGCCUCGCGAGUAGCUGGGAUUACAGGCAUGCACCACCACGCCUGGCUAAUUUCGUAUUUUUAAUAGAGACAGGGUUUCUCCAUGUUGGUCAGGCUGGUCUCAAACUCCUGACUUGAGGUGAUCUGCCCGCCUUGGCCUCCCAAAGUGCUGGGAUUACAGGCGGGAACCACUGCACCCGGCAGGUACAGUGUUUCUUUAGGUGCUGGUGGUACACCAGGGAAUCAGGGCAGAAGCUGGAUCCUGCAAGAGUAAUGUUUGAGAACAAAUAAAUACUUUCGAAAGGAGGUCGAAACAAAAAGGAGUGUAGGUGUUAUUACUGCAGAGAAGACUGAAUGGAGUCCACUUUUCUUAUUAGUAACUUACUAAAAAUGAUCUCAAAUGGGCUCCACACACUUUGCCCUGGCCAUGAGGCAAACUUGUUGGGUUUGGAGAAAAACACAUAACCCUAAAUUCACUAUUUUUGCCCUAUAUAAAACAUUAAAAUAACAUGCUCUGUACACAUGCUGUCAACAAAAGCCAGCUCUAGGAACCUGAGUGCCAGAAUGCCUGAGGGAGCUACAGCUGGGCUUAGUUGGCUGGGAUUGAGCUCGCUGUCUGAGGGAGCUCGCUCUGUCUCUCUCACACUGGCAGUUUACACCAGCCGGCAGCCCUGAGCAGCAGUGGGUGUAACUUUUUAUAAAUAAGGAUUCAUUGAUUCAUUCAUAUUCUCAAUAUUUCUUGAAGACCUACCCCGAGCCAAGCAUGGUGCCAGGCAGUGGGGAUGCAGUGGAGAGCAAACAGCCCUGCCCAUGCAAAGUGUCCUGUACGGUGAGAAGUGUGAGCUGCACCCACAAAGGGAAAGAGCCCAGUGCAGCUUUUGCAAAAUGCAGGGAAGGAUGCUGCUAGCCUCAGGGUGACCUAGAACUUUAAGCUCAUCUUUGUUUUCAGGAGCCCAGUGCCUCCCCUCCACCCCUAAAGAAUAUCUCAAAGACGUGGAUUUUCAUUUCAGUAAGAUUUAGGGGUGCAUGGGCAGGCAGUGCUGGAGGAACUGGGAGGCAGGUUUGGAGGCUGCAGUGGGACCACUGGCCCCUCCUGGCUACAGUUUCAGGCCAGGAGCUUGUUGGCACCUGGUGCAAACUCCCAAACCUGAGGGGUCCCCACAACCCCCCAGCCCAUCUUAACUUCCUCUUCCCCCAAGCUAUCUGGUGUUGGAAAGCCAGCAUCUAGUGUGGAAACAAGCUUUCUCACCAGGUAGGCCAUCCGCUGUCAGGACCAUUAGGUAAAAACAGAAGUGACAGGUUGUAGGAAGUCGUUCGAUCUGUGAGGCUGCGAGCACUUCAGUGCCUGGGAUUUACCUAACUGCCAUGAAACACUGAUUAUCCAGCAUUCAGCAUGUGUCAGAUUCUGUAACUAUUUCUCCUGUGAUGUAUCAGUCAGCUUUUGCUGCAAAACAGCAUCAGAAAUCUCAGUGGUCUACAACUAGAUUCCCAUUCUUGGGUAGUCUACAAGUUGGCUUCUAGGUUAUGCUCCAGGCUGGGGGUCUGAUCACGUCUGCUCCACAACAUGUCCCGUAUUCUGGGUCCCUGGUUGAAGCAGCAGCUUACCUUGGGCCGUGUUCUUUCUCAUGGCAGAAGCACAGGAGGCCAAGCCCUACCUUGCAAGCACAAAUACAGCCCCUGCUCACUUUCUGUUGGCCACAACACAUGGCCAUGCCUGACCUCUGUGGGGUGAGGCAGUGCAUGGCCAAGGAACAAGCACAGUCCACACAGGGGGCUGUCACUCCGUGACCUCAGUAUUACAAAAUGGUUCUCAAGGAGUCGCAAAAUGUGUGGCAGAUCAUCCAUGAUUUGUUUCCCGUGUGCUUUACGAAUAUCCUGAAAUUUUUAAAAGCUGUUUCCAUUAGAAGGGAUCUGUUGGGGAUUUGAGGUGAGAUGAGAAAGACCCUGCAUUCCAGCCCCUCAGUUAGCAGUGGUGAGGCCGGAGUACUCCACACGGGACAGUUUUAGGAAAGUGCUGGAAUCCAAAGUUUCUCCGGAGGGCUAUGCAAGGCGCUUUGGAAAGGCGAAGCCUGGGCGCAGGGAGCCCAGCCAUGUAGGUAGAAGCAGCAGACGGUGAGGGAGGCCAUCCCCACCUGGCCCUGCCAGGGCCCUGACUCAGUGAAGGAAGCUGUUGGGAUACAGGUCAUUCAGCCGGGCAGGAAAGAUGGGAUGAAGCCCAGCAAGUUCACAGGGAUCCGGGAAGUUGUGUGGCUGGAAACCCAGGCAGGGCUGCACCACAGGGACCAUUUGCUGGAGAUGCAGCACUUGCCACAGCCACCACCACUGACAGCAUGACACCCACAAAAAGGGAGCCUCCAGCUGCACCCCUGCUGCUGCGAGUACUUCCUCAGCUGUCUGCCAUGAGCUUAAGGUUAAGUACCAGGAGGGAGGAUAUGAUUGGGCAAACCUCAGGCAUGUGUUCAUUCUGUAGCUUCCAGAACAUGCGAGGAGAGAGCAUCUGGCUCCUUUGUCUCGAGGAGGAGGGGGCAGGACUCUGCCAGAACUCACUCGAUAAAAGAUUUUCCCAAAAGGAAGGGUGUUCAGAUGACAAAAGUCCACUACACCACUUUCCUUGGCUAUCUGAUGCACCCCCAUCUUCCCAUGCGCGCACCUCAGAAAUCAGGCUCCCACCUGACAUAACACAACCAUGCCUCACAAAAAGACAGUGGUUUAUCCCUUCCCUAGGAGAAAAGAGAGGCAAUGCCAAGCUGCUUCAUCAACUGUUAAUACUUCUUCCAGCCCGCAACCCAGGAUAUCUGCAGGUGUCUCUCCCUCUGGUUUGGUCAUGGCUCUCUCUGUUCUAGAAUGUAUGGGUUAAAGUCGGCUGCCACACCAUGCCCUCGGCAGUGUGGUCCAAGGACCCCUGAGGGUCCUCAAGGUCCUUCCUUUCCCAACCCCACGUGGUUUUCUUCAGUCAGGAUACCAUACUGCAACAGACCGAAGGCGGAAGCAGCUAUGAGGAUGCAGCAGCCUUCUGUUAAGCCAGGCUUUAAGGAUCUGCAAAAAUGUAAAACGAUGCCACUCCUACUGAUGAAAUAUAUUGUUUUGGAAAAUAUAGGUUUAAAAAUUUUUUUAAGGUAACAUGUAAUGGAUGUAUAGUCUUCAAAUGGAUGAAUAAAUGUUUUUCAGAGUUAUUGGCUUUAACUUCUAAGAUGCUAAAUGUUGACGUAGCUCAUAAACAAAAGCCCGUUGAGGUCCUCGGUCAUUUCAAGAGUGUGAGGGGGUCUUGUGACCAAAGCAUUUGAGAACUGCUGUCCUAUAUUAUCAUGGGGGAAAGAGA
rnacentral:lncRNA from 1 species